GAUGAACGCUGGCGGCGUGCCUAAUACAUGCAAGUCGAGCGAACAGACGAGGAGGUUGCUCCUCUGACGUUAGCGGCGGACCGGUGAGUAACCCGUGGAUAACCUACCUAUAAGACUGGGAUAACUUCGGGAAACCGGAGCUAAUACCGGAUAAUAUAUUGAACCGCAUGGUUCAAUAGUGAAAGACGGUUUUGCUGUCACUUAUAGAUUGAUCCGCGCCGCAUUAGCUAGUUGGUAAGGUAACGGCUUACCAAGGCAACGAUGCGUAGCCGACCUGAGAGGGUGAUCGGCCACACGGGAACUGAGACACGGUCCAGACUCCUACGGGAGGCAGCAGUAGGGAAUCUUCCGCAAUGGGCGAAAGCCUGACGGAGCAACGCCGCGUGAGUGAUGAAGGUCUUCGGAUCGUAAAACGCUGUUAUUAGGGAAGAACAAAUGUGUAAGUAACUAUGCACGUCUUGACGGUACCUAAUCAGAAAGCCACGGCUAACUACGUG
rnacentral:rRNA from 1 species